CCUACGGGGGACAGCAGUGGGGAAUAUUGGACAAUGGGGGGAACCCUGAUCCAGCCAUGCCGCGUGUGUGAAGAAGGCCCUCGGGUUGUAAAGCACUUUCAGUGAGGAAGAACGCCUGGUGGUUAAUACCCAUCAGGAAAGACAUCACUCACAGAAGAAGCACCGGCUAACUCCGUGCCAGCAGCCGCGGUAAUACGGAGGGUGCGAGCGUUAAUCGGAAUUACUGGGCGUAAAGCGCGCGUAGGUGGCUUGAUAAGCCGGUUGUGAAAGCCCCGGGCUCAACCUGGGAACGGCAUCCGGAACUGUCAAGCUAGAGUGCAGGAGAGGAAGGUAGAAUUCCCGGUGUAGCGGUGAAAUGCGUAGAGAUCGGGAGGAAUACCAGUGGCGAAGGCGGCCUUCUGGACUGACACUGACACUGAGGUGCGAAAGCGUGGGUAGCAAACAGGAUUAGAUACCCUGGUAGUC
rnacentral:rRNA from 1 species